CUUGUCUUCAGCUUCAAGUGGAACAGCUCUGACCUGUAAAGUGAUCAGACCUGGAGAGGAGAAACACCUGGUCCAACAAGGUGAUGGAUGGUUGACGGGACGAAUCACCGAGACGAACAAGACGAGCCAAACAAUGGAGAGGGGCCGCCACAGGAGCCUGAAGGGAAAGUGUGAGACUCCUGGUCCAACAAGGUGAUGGAUGGUUGACGGGACGAAUCACCGAGACGAACAAGACGAGCCAAACAAUGGAGAGGGGCCGCCACAGGAGCCUGAAGGGAAAGUGUGAGACUCCUGGUCCAACAAGGUGAUGGAUGGUUGACGGGACGAAUCACCGAGACGAACAAGACGAGCCAAACAAUGGAGAGGGGCCGCCACAGGAGCCUGAAGGGAAAGUGUGAGACUCCUGGUCCAACAAGGUGACGGACGAGCCGCAGCAGGAAAACUGAGGAUCUGAGUGUCGUCUUCUGAGGAAACUCCUUCAGGUCAUGCAGUUGUUUGCUGACUACAGUUUCACCUGCUCACACUGGGAGCACUGUCGUCUUUAAUGGCUAUUUACGUGAACAGUGGGACUUGUCUUCAGCUUCAGGUGGAACAGCUGUGACCUGUAUGGUGAUCAGACCCAGAGAGGAGAGACACCUGGUCCAACAAGGUGAUGGACGAGCGGUCAUGACGGACAAGACGAGACGAACCCUGGAGACGAGCCUGAAGCAGCAGGAAAGUCUUCUGUUGACAACUCCUUCAGGUCAUGCAGUUGACUACUGUUUCACCUGCUCACAGACAGUGAGCACUGUUGUCUUUACUGGCUAUUUUACAUAAUAAACCCUUUUUUUGAAUUACA